rnacentral:lncRNA from 1 species
AUCCAGCUAGUACCUCUGUUGUUUGCUUUUUGAAUAAUCUGAUAAAAUUCAACAGUAUCUGUAUUGCUUAUUUCAGAGUACCUCAGAGCACUUCCCAUACAAGAUGAAUAUCUACUAAAUGUGUUGAGUGGUUGAAAGGUGUGCUGAGGACUGAGGAUGUUAGAAAUAAAUUGAACUUGAAAGAAGAAUCAUGGAGACAUGCUGAAAGUGACUCCCAAGCAUUAACAAUGGUGGCUGUACUGCAGAAAUAUUCCAUUGGCUGGGAGAAGUUGUAACAAGAGUGGUUACUCGACUGCUCUGAUUUUCUCUGGAAGCACAGGGAAAUUCUGUCUGUUUCCCAGGGGCUGGGAAUACACUGCAGGCUGUGAUUCUGCUGCAGAACAAGCAGGUACACUCACUGCAUUCUCACUUGAAUAAGAAGCAAAUAUGGUGAGUUUCUAAAAAUACUAGUACCAUCUUUCCAAAGCAAAACUGAGAAUGGGGAAAUGUCUUGGGAAAGAGUAAAUUAUCUAGGAGAUCAUGGCAUGUAGCUUUUCCAUAGGCUGUUGGUAAACCACGGUACAAUUUUUUACCCAUCCUUUCGAUACUGCUGCUUAAGGCAUACUAAUAUAUUUGAAACCCAGUUUCUCUUAGCCUAAGCUUUACUAUUCGCAUUUAACUUGUAUUUUUAUUUUCACUACCAAGCAUCCUUUUCAACUUUGUUGAUACUGGCAUGGUCUUCCAUAGUUGGUGAUAUUUGCAUACCACUCUCUGGUAAGGCUGGGCUUAAAGGAAUUCCUUGAAAUGUUUUGUGAUCAGCUGCCCACUAACUUCUUCCUCUAAAAAUGGAAGCAGUGCCUUUAUUUGCAUAUGUGCCUUACUCCAGUAACCCCUAAUGAAGAUAGGAGGACUGCUGCAUAAUGUCUUCCUCUGCUGGUGACAAGGAUCAAAAGGUUAAGUGAGGUGAAGAGCAGAAGGCUUUGUAAAAGGAAAUGCUCUUAAUGUAGGAUCUAUCUUGGUUUUCUUAGAAGAAAUUUUGAGAGAAAGCUCCUAGCAGGAAGGAAACUGUGAUAUUUUCUGGUAGUUCUGCUUGUUAGAUGAAGAGAAAGAACACACUGUGGGAUAGCUAUGGGCUGUAGGAUAGAUGCAGAUACGAUAAUUCAUCAGGUUGCAGGUAAUUACUUUCAGUGCUGAGUUCAGAUGUUAGUUUAGGUGACACAAAUGAUCCACACAGCAAUUUUACCAUGAUACAGAAUUAAAGAUUAGUAUUAGGGCAACCAGUGUGCAUAUGUCAUAUACAUGACCUCGUUAAGUGAAAGAUCUGGUUUGUCCAAGGCUGUUUAGAAUGAUCACUGAACAGCAUUCUGCACUACCAUUGUAGUGGGAAUAAGGUCAUGUCAGAAAAAUGUAUGGAGGUAUCUCUGAUGUUAAGGGCCUU